rnacentral:lncRNA from 1 species
AUGGUUGAAUAAGGUAAAGGAAAAGAAAGUCUGGCUAAGUUCUCCAGAGUUCAGGGAGCUUACAAAUAAGUGGAGAAAUGUUUGACCUGCAUAGCAGUCUCAGCUCACAUCAGAACGAUAUCAGCUGUGUGUACUGAGGACCAUGGAAACAAGGUAUGGAGAAAGGGAAGCUUCCCUAGGCACAGGAGCACAGCCCCUCCCCAGAGUUGAUGGGCAGAUAUAAGGUGUGGGUGGGAAGCAGACUUCAGAUACAGGUGCCCAUUGUCUUGACGUGAACAGGAGAGCCCUGGCUGCCUGAAUACCUCUGCCAGGGGCUAAAGAGAUGAAGCUGCAUGUGGUCAGUGCUAGGGAACUUCAAACCUCUUCCAGCAUCCUGUAUAGAAUGAAGAAGACCAGGACCCAAAGGUCCCGCCGACGUCCUGCACUGCCCUGCCUCUGCCAAACAAAUGAUUACAGCUUUUCUACUGACAUCCAGGAAACUAAAUUGGAGUAGAAAGAGGUCUCUGAAGGAACAUACAUGUGCACAAAGUGAUCACAGUUCUGGAAUUGUGAUGUUGCCACUGUAGAACAAUUUCUGGAAAAAGGACUAACAGUCUGUGGAAACAGCCAUCAAUAGUCAACAGACAUUUAAGAUCAUUGAUAUGAAUGCCCAAAUGAAAGCCCUGGUUUGGAGUGUGAAUUAGGAGCUCUCCUACCAUUCUAACUUCACCAUUUCUAGGAUCCAGCAAUGGUUUCUGACCAGAAAUUCCACCUUGCACAAAAACUUCUGCUAAAUUACAUUUUAUUGAAAAACUUGGGAUUAGACAAAUGGCUGCUUUGAGUGAGAAACAGCUUUGGUCCAGUUGCACUGACCUCCUCAAGCGUCUUUAAGAUCUCUCUGUAAAAGCUUUGCUGGUAGCCCAUGGAGGACUUUGGAUAAGUGUUCCCUCAUUGUCAAGCACAUAUCUCACACAGUGUAGACCCAGCCAGUGGCUGAGAGGGGAUCUCUGCUAAUUGGGUAUGUCUGUCUCAAAUGCCUGGCUACCAGCUGGCAGAGGCAAUGGCCUUUGCACUGCCACCUUGGCAGAGGAGCUCUAUGACUGCCAUCUGUUGGCCUCCAAAAUCACAUUUUCUAGAUAAACACAGUCUCCCAGUGGGAAAUAUGGCUUCUCAUCAUGAGUGAAGAUAAAAUGUCCUUCCAGCACUGGAGGGAUCCUCGGGAACCUUCUAGAUCAUGACCAAAUGUGUAGCCAUCACUUUAUAAUGGACUUAAUCCUUUAUCUUCUUGCAUACCAUGGAAGAAGAAUAUACUCAUUUUCUAAAGAUUCUGUAAGAAGUUCUGCCUUUCUACCUAAGAUCUCUGUAGUUAAAGAGAAGAAAUGAUUUUUUUGUUGCUGUGGGUUCUCAUUUGUUUGUUAGUUUUGCUUUUGUUUUUCCCCAUUGGUGAUGUUGAAUGCUUAAUCACACUUUCAUGAGAACAUGAAUUUCUCUUUGGAUUCUUCUCUGGGUUGCAG